AUGGAAGAAUCUGUGACCUUGGCAGAUACACACAGGAAGAAUAUUAAGGAGGUUGCAUUGAACAUGCAAUAAUCCACACAAACCCUCCCCUCCUGUUUUAGAAAGUGAUUCAAAUAACACAAAAAUGGAAAUAGUUCUGUGACAUCUCCAUCUCACUCAAAUGGAAUAAGUGUUGCCAGCUUGAUGUUCAACCCAGCAUGGAUGGAAGGAGCCAGCCGGAUUCGAACCCAGGACCACUUGCCUCGAAGUCCAGUGCGGAUGCCACUACACCAAUGGCCAGCUACGGGUUAUAUGUAAAAGAUGCCGUGCACAAUCCUGAUUUGAUGGAGACAGCCAUGAGAAGCACAGAGGAACACCUGGAGAAACUUCUGAAAUGCCCACUUCACUGCCGCUGCUACUGUGCGAUCGAUAAUCUCCGGAGGG